GAUGAAGAACGUAGCGAAAUGCGAUAAGUAAUGUGAAUUGCAGAAUUCAGUGAAUCAUCGAAUCUUUGAACGCACAUUGCGCCCGCCAGUAUUCUGGCGGGCAUGCCUGUUCGAGCGUCAUUUCAACCAUCAAGCCCCAGGCUUGUGUUGGAGCCCUGCGGCUGCCGCAGCCUCCCAAAACCAGUGGCGGGCUCGCUAUCACACCGAGUGCAGUAGUUUACUCUUCGCUCAGGGCGUGUGGCGGGUGCUAGCCGUAAAACCCCCAACUUCUCAAGGUUGACCUCGGAUCAGGUAGGAAUACCCGCUGAACUUAAGCAUAUCAAUAGGCGGAGGA
rnacentral:misc_RNA from 1 species